CUAAUAAUCAGUCUUCUUUCUAAGGACUUUUUUUAUUCCUUUUAGAGGAAUCUAUUUCUUCCUAUUACUUUUUAGGGAAUAGUGGAAUUGGGGUAAAUGGAGACAGAAACCUUCAUUGCAUAAGUAGAAGGGAGUUUCCCGUUCCUUUUGUAUCAGGAUGGAAGGACUAAUUACCUAAUCGGAGUAUCCCGAAAGAAAGAGAUCUUCUUCUUCUUCUUCCUGUUGUUUCAAUACCAGAGAAAAAGAUUUAGAAGUGGUUACAAGUCAGUCGGUCUUUCAUAUCUGGUUUUUCUUUUUUACCGGUUCAAUCGGCCUCGGGAAAGAAUAUGUUUGUACCUGUUUUUGGUUUUUUCCAGAGAGAAACGAGAGGGGAUAAGCUCGCUCGUCACCAGGAAUAGCUCCUCCUAGUUCAGGACCAAAAGGUUUUCUAAAGUUAUUAAUUUCAUCGGUUAUUUCUGCAUAAGGAGUAGAAAAACCACCCCCGGUUAAGAAGGGUGGAGUAAGAUCUACCAAUUAGUAAGACAAGUAAAUCUUUCUGCAGGAACUAGGCAAAUCAGAGGGCUGCCUGUUUACUAAAGACAUCUCCACCUGUUUAAAUAGGUGGUAGGCCCUGCCCAAUGCUUGUAAGUUAAUGGCCGCAGUAUUCUGACUGUGCAAAGGUAGCAUAAUAGGUAGGCUCUUAAUUGGAGUCUGGAAUGAAAGGGUUGACAGGCUCUCGACUUUCUUCAAAAAAGUUUCUAAAAUUAAGAAUCAGGUGAGAACUCCUGGAUGUGAGAGAGGGACGAAAAGACCCUAUAGAUCUGGAUCCCUACCUCCUCUACUCGGGAGGAUAGAGGAUGUUUUUUGGGAUGAAACGAAAUACCGUGAACAUUCGAUAAAAAAAGAUUGGUUGAUCGAAUAAGGAUCCCCUAUUAGGGACAAAAAGAAUAGUUACCUUAGGGAUAACAGCACAAUCCCCCUUACCAGUUCGUAUGGUAAGGGGGGUUUGUGACCUCGAUGUUGAAUUAAGUUUUCCCUCUUAACGGAGAAAGAAGAGCGGUUAGUCUGUUCGACUACUAAGAACUUACAUGAUUUGAGUUUAGACCGAUGUGAAUCAGGUUAGAUUCUAUCUUCUCUCUUAAUAGAUUUCCUUUGUACGAAAGGAUCAGGAAAUGUGUUCUGCACAUGCUA
rnacentral:rRNA from 1 species